AAACUAACAAGGAUUCCCCUAGUAGCGGCGAGCGAAGCGGGAAGAGCUCAAAUUUGUAAUCUGGCACCUUCGGUGUCCGAGUUGUAAUCUCGAGAAGUGUUUUCCGCGCUAGACCGCAUACAAGUCUGUUGGAAUACAGCGUCAUGGUGGGUGAGAACCCCGUAACUGAUGCGGAUGCCUAGUGCUUUGUGAUACACUUUCGAAGAGUCGAGUUGUUUGGGAAUGCAGCUCAAAUUGGGUGGUAAAUUCCAUCUAAAGCUAAAUAUUGGCGAGAGACCGAUAGCGAACAAGUACCGUGAGGGAAAGAUGAAAAGCACUUUGGAAAGAGGGUUAACAGUACGUGAAAUUGUUGGAAGGGAAACGCUUGAAGUCAGACUUGCUUUUUGGAGUUCAGCCGCAAGGUGUAUUCUUCAGUUGGCAGGCCAGCAUCAGUUUUCGAGGGUGGAAAAGGGUUUUGAGAAGGUAGCAGUUUCGGCUGUGUUAUAGCUCUUGACUGGAUUCACCUUUGGGGACUGAGGAACGCAGCGCGCUUUUUGCAAAGCUCUCGAGCUUUUCGCGCUUAGGAUGCUGGUGGAAUGGCUUUAAACGACC
rnacentral:rRNA from 1 species